rnacentral:miRNA from 1 species
UCGGCCAUUGUAAAGGCAGGCUUUGCCAGGGCACGUAACUAUAGCUUCAACAGCCUUGCCUGGAGAAAAGGAGGAGAUGGAGGAAAAGGCAGUGCAAUGAAGAACUACAAGCUGUUCGACUAUCUGGCGUACCUGGUGUGCU